GUCUGUAUAAUUUAAAAAAUAUUAGAUUGUGAUUCUAAACAUAAAAGUUAAAAUCUUUUUACAAACU
rnacentral:tRNA from 1 species